UAAACGACUCUCGGCAACGGAUAUCUCGGCUCACGCAUCGAUGAAGAACGUAGCAAAAUGCGAUACUUGGUGUGAAUUGCAGAAUCCCGUGAACCAUCGAGUUUUUGAACGCAAGUUGCGCCCGAAGCCUCUUGGCUGAGGGCACGUCUGCCUGGGUGUCACAC
rnacentral:rRNA from 1 species